AACUCUUAGCAAUGGUCACUUGGUUCGUGAGUCCACAGCUGACUGCAAGAAUUAAUAUUGAUUGCAGGACACACUGAUAAUCUACACUUCAAAUGUGCUUUUGCCCCCGGGUUCCUUCCCAGGCUACACCUGCUUGAGUAUCA
rnacentral:rRNA from 1 species